rnacentral:rRNA from 1 species
CAGCCGUAAACUAUGCUCGCUAGGUGUCAGGCAUGGCGCGACCGUGUCUGGUGCCGCAGGGAAGCCGUGAAGCGAGCCACCUGGGAAGUACGGCCGCAAGGCUGAAACUUAAAGGAAUUGGCGGGGGGAGCACCACAACGGGUGGAGCCUGCGGUUUAAUUGGACUCAACGCCGGGAAGCUCACCGGAUAAGACAGCGGAAUGAUUGCCGGGCUGAAGACUCUGCAUGACUAGCUGAGAGGAGGUGCAUGGCGUAGACGUCU